UACGGAGGAUGCAAGCGUUAUCCGGAAUUAUUGGGCGUAAAGCGUGCGCAGGCGGCAGUUCAAGUCUGCUGUGAAAGACCGGGGCUUAACUUCGGAAAGGCAGUGGAAACUGAACAGCUAGAGUAUGGUAGGGGCAGAGGGAAUUCCUGGUGUAGCGGUGAAAUGCGUAGAGAUCAGGAAGAACAUCGGUGGCGAAGGCGAUCUGCUGGACCAUAACUGACACUCAGGGACGAAAGCUAGGGGAGCGAAUGGG
rnacentral:rRNA from 1 species